rnacentral:rRNA from 1 species
CAAUAGCGUAUGUUAAAGUUGUUGCAGUUAAAAAGCUCGUAGUUGGACUUCUACAGGUCUUCGAUAGGCCCCACGGACCUCGGUCUGAGGGCGGCUCUCUCGAACCUGUUUUUUGCUGUGACCCCGUCUACCCUUAAUUGGGUCGGACAGGUUUUGAUCAGCUCUUUUACUUUGAGAAAAACAGUGUGCUCAAUGCAGGCGUUUCGCCUUGAAUAUGUUAGCAUGGGAUAAUACUAAAGACAGCGUAUCUAUGUUGUUGGUUAUGGAUAUGAUGUAAUGAGUGAUGGGAACGGCUCGGAGGCCUCGGUAUUCUAGAGGGAGAGGUGAAAUUCUUGGAUCUCUGGAAGACCACCUGCUGCGAAAGCGUUGGCCAAGGACGUCUCCGUCAA